rnacentral:rRNA from 1 species
CCUACGGGAGGCAGCAGUGGGGAAUAUUGGGCAAUGGGCGCAAGCCUGACCCAGCAAAGCCGCGUGAGGGAAGAAGGCCCUCGGGUUGUAAACUUCUUUUAUCAAGGACGAAACAAAUGACGGUACUUGAUGAAUAAGCCACGGCUAACUACGUGCCAGCAGCCGCGGGAAUACGUAGGUGGCAAGCGUUAUCCGGAUUUAAUGGGUGUAAAGGGCGUGUAGGCGGGAAGGCAAGUCAGAUGGGAAAACCAUGGGCUCAACCCAUGGCAUGCAUUUGAAACUGGAGUUCUUGAGUGUUGGAGAGGCAGGCGGAAUGCCGGGUGUAGCGGUGAAAUGCGUAGAUAUACGGAAGAACACCAGUGGCGAAGGCGGCCUGCUGGACGAUGACUGACGUUGAGGCUCGAAAGCGUGGGGAGCAAACAGGAUUAGAUACCCCGGUAGUC